AUUGAACGCUGGCGGCAGGCCUAACACAUGCAAGUCGAGCGAGCGGCGGACGGGUGAGUAAUGUCUGGGAAACUGCCUGAUGGAGGGGGAUAACUACUGGAAACGGUAGGCAAUACCGCAUACCAUCAGAUGUGCCCAGAUGGGACUAGUUAGGAGGUGGGUGAACGGCUCACCUAGGCGAAGAUCCCUAGCUGGUCUGAGAGUAGGACCAGCCAACCUGGAACUGAGACACGGUCCAGACUCCUACGGGAGGCAGAAGUGGGGAAUAUUGCACAAUGGGCGCAAGCCUGAGGCAGCCAUGCCGCGUGUAUGAAGAAGGCCUUCGGGUUGUAAAGUACUUUCAGCGGGGAGGCGUUACCCGCAUAAGAAGCACCGGCUAACUCCGUGCCAGCAGCCGCGGUAAUAC
rnacentral:rRNA from 1 species